rnacentral:lncRNA from 1 species
ACUGUAGAAGUGUCCCCAAAUAAACCCAAAAAUCAGACGCAGGGCCUAUUUGGCCAAUUUCGGAAUUCCGGCACGGCGGCUCAACCGUGCUCCAGUGACAGCGCCUCGGGCAGCUGAAGUUGCGUAACUUUUUUAAAUUGCAUUUUGACCUCCAGUUUCUGAUUUUUCUUUCAAAAAUACCAUCAGAACUCAAAUUUUCACCUCUUUUCCCUAAAAUUGUUUUCAAUUAAAUCCCUAACCAAUUUUCUUACCCUUUUUUAUUAUUAUUAUUAUUAUUAUUAUUAUUAUUAUUUUCAUUAAAUCAAAUUAAAAUAAAAUAAAUUAAAUUAAAAUCAUAUAAAUAAUAAUUAUAUUUAUAAAAAAUAAUAAUAAUUAAAUUAAAAUUAAAAUAAUUAAAUGUUGGGUGUUACAGCAUUCCGAGUAUCAUCAGCUGAAGAUUAAGGUUGAAGUUAUUGUUAAGAUAACCUUUUGAAAACUAAAAAGAGCGCUUAAAAAUAUAGAUGAAAAUAGUAAAGAAUUCCUUACUAAAAUCGAGUUGAUUAGUCUUUUAGAAGGGGAGAAAAAGACUUUUAGCACUCCUUGGUCAAACUCUUUAAACUCCUACUUUUUCUCCUUCUUUCUUUCUUCUUUCUCUCUAUAAAAUUUUCUCUUUCUCACUCUAAAAUCUUUGUCCAGAAAGUGAAAAUGGAAAAAGAAAUGAAGUGGGAGAAAAUGAGGAAAAGAGAGCCUUUAGAUAUGGAUGGAGAAAGCUUGAAUGUGCACUACAUGACAAGCAUCUAAGUGGGUAGUUGAGAGGUGGGUGAGGGAGUGGGUGAACAUGGGACCUGUAGGGCAUGGGGGUGGGUAUGUGGAAGAUCUUCUCCUCUAUUUGGUUUUCCUUUUCUUUAUUUUCUCUCUUUUC